AGUGCCGUGUUACUGUACUCUACAGGUGGUUAACCUUCUUAUCAAAUACCCUAAUGUAGAGGUCAACGAUGCUCAGGGCAAGGUCGUGCUCUCUCAGACCCACCCAUAUUUGACGGAGUUAAGUAUUAACAUAACAGUGAGGGACCAUCUUAAAGUGGGUAUGCACUAUCAAUUCAUCCAACAGUUCGGGGGCCGUUUGAGAAAUAGUGAAGAUUAAGUCCUAUGGACAGGUCCAUCAAUCGAAGAUCAGCUUCCAGACAGUCGGGGGAUGCUCAGGG